rnacentral:lncRNA from 1 species
AACAAUCAAAAUCCUACUUAAUCUAAUGUACCUGAAGUUAGAUCAAGUUCCUUUGAUACCUCUCAGCAGAAGAAGACCAGAGCACUUUCCAGUGUUGCACUUUGACUGCUUUGUGCUGGUGUCUCUGCAAAAGUAAAGCAAGAAAUCUCACCUAGAUGAAGGUCAAAUUAAUGUUCUCCUGGGAGCAUGGCUGAGUCCCAAACAGAAGGCACAGUACAGAAUCUACAG